GAUGAACGCUGGCGGCGCGCCUAACACAUGCAAGUCGAACGGCCGGACCCACCCCGGUGGGCGAGGCAGUGGCGAACGGCUGAGUAACACGUGGGCAACCUGCCCCUCGCACCGGGACAGCCUCGGGAAACCGUGGAUGAUACCGGAUACUCCGCCUCCCCCGCAUGGGGAGGGCGGGAAAGCCCAGACGGCGAGGGAUGGGCCCGCGGCCUGUUAGCUUGUUGGCGGGGUAACGGCCCACCAAGGCGAUUAUGGGUAGCCGGGUUGAGAGACCGACCGGCCAGAUUGGGACUGAGACACGGCCCAGACUCCUACGGGAGGCAGCAGUGGGGAAUCUUGCACAAUGGGCGAAAGCCUGAUGCAGCGACGCCGCGUGCGGGACGAAGGCCUUCGGGUUGUAAACCGCUUUCAGCAGGGACGAGGCCGCAAGGUGACGGUACCUGCAGAAGAAGCCCCGGCUAACUACGUG
rnacentral:rRNA from 1 species